GGCCUCCCGGCUGGGUGCAUUCCUGCUUCAGCAGAGUCAUCCCAUCUGUGGCUUCCAUGGCGCUCCUUCCUCAGCUGCCUGUCCCGAUCCCUUUCCCCCACCAAAAAAAAAAAAAAGAUUCCUAAAAGCUGCGCAAGACUCCCAAGACCACCCAGGGUGGCAGAUGUUCAGUUGGGGAACGCAACCCUCUUCAAGCAACUGGAGUGACCCAAGUACCCUCUUCCUAAGAAAAUGGGCCUGAGGGGCCUGGCGAAGUGAAGCCGGGGCUCCACGCACCACAUCACCUACGGCCCUGCCUCUGUGAAGUGAUGAUGGAAGGUCACAAGGCAUUGGGCAGAGCUGGGAGCAGACUCGGGUCUCCAAUGCCAACCUCCUUGGUCACGGAGGCCAGUUCUCCGAGCUCCUUCCAACCUUUUGUUUUCUCCAUCACAAGUGGCCUGCACCUUCAUUGUUCAUGAAGCAGCCACCAUCUGAGGGACUGCAUGCACUACAGAGUCAACCCAGCCCCCUCCACCUGUGCCCUCUCCAGUCACUCCAAAACUGGGGAUGGAUCUUGUGGCUGAACCCAAAGACAGGGUCCACAUAGGAACCAGUCAUGAAGAGAAGGCUCUUCUCAGGCACUGGCCAAAGGCUAUGGCACAGGGAAUUUCCAAGCAGCAAUUGACUAAAGGCAGAACCCAGAGGGCCCCAACAACCACACAAUGGUAUGCAUUCAAAACAGCUGAGGCCACACACAGGGGCUCACACUGGAAUUCCAGCACUUGGGGAGGCCAGGGUGAGAGGAUCGCUUGAGGCCAGGAGUUCGAGACCAGCCUGGGCAAAAAAGCAAGUUUCCAUCACUACAAAAAAUUAAAAAAUUAAAAUAAAAAUUAGCUGCGUGUGGUGGCAUGCACCUGUAGUCCCAGCUACUCAAGAGACUGAGAUAGGAGGAUCACUUGAGGCCAGGAGUUCGAGGUUGCAGUAAGCCAUGAUGGCAACACUGUGCUCCAGCCUGGGUGACA
rnacentral:lncRNA from 1 species